rnacentral:lncRNA from 1 species
AGAUCAGAGGAAUGCUUCUAGAAACUGAAAAACAUAAAGAUUAAUAGCAAACCACCAGAAGUUAAUGAAGAGGCAUGAAGAGAUUCUUUCUCACAGAGAAGGAACCAACUCCGCUGACCCCUCCAUCUUGGACUUCUAGCCUCCAAAAUUCCAUUCCUCUCUUCUGAGCUCCUCUCUGGCCAACUUUAACUCAUCGAUUGGUUCUGCCACCCGCAACGUUGGCUCCAAAGGCCUGUAGCGUUGUUCUAAUACUUCGGUGAUAUCUCGGAAGGGCCCCUGACAAGACAGGAUGAGGAACAUAUUUUAUAUGGAAGAUUUUUUUGAGGUUAUCACUAACAAGACACAGCUGGAGUUACUGCAAGCACUGAGUGAAGACUGUGGGGCUAAUAAAAAGAAAUGAUUCACGCCUC